UCUCCGUUGGUGAACAGCGGAGGGAUCAUUACAGGACUCGCAAGACUCCUUCACCCUGUGGACCUUACUACAAGCACGUUGCUUCGGCGGGUGUCCCGGCGGGGGUUUUCCCUCGCCGGGGCGCACAGCCCGCCGGCAGCCUACUAUACUCUGUCUCUUUGCGUUGGCAUCUCGAGAAAAAACAAACAAGUUAAAACUUUCAACAACGGAUCUCUUGGUUCUG
rnacentral:misc_RNA from 1 species